ensembl:lncRNA
GGCACAUGGAUGUACGAAUGCCAUCAAAGGCCAGUCACGAUUAUACUGGUCACUCUGGGAAGGAUCCAAAAUAAGUAACUAUGAAACAAGAUGAUUAUAUCACAUGGAUAACUGAGAACUGAGUUGAAGCAGUUGGAGUGUAUAAUUCUUCAGAGAGGAUACGUACAUACCCAGCCUAACUCCAUUUUGCAGGAUCUUCUUUCAAGGUCUUCGUCUGGUGGCAAGUUAAAAAAGGAUUUCAAGCUCCGGGGUCCUUGCUUGGAUCAUAAGCCAGUGGGUCCAGGAGGUGGAUUGACUAUGUUGAUUUAAUCAUAGGCAUAGCAACACGACACUGGCCGAAGUCACUGCAGCCAUAAUGGGAUUUUCCAUCAGAACACAGAGCGAGAAGCUGGCUACGAGCACCACCACAAUCAUGGCUUAGAUCUCUUUAUCGUCAGAAGAACUUCUAUUAAAAUGAAUAGAGGCUGGACUUGAAUGAUCAGAUGAAGAGAAGAGGAAAUUCAAAGGUGAGUUUUACGCUUAUAUUUAAGCAAAUCAAUUAAGCAUUUAAGUUUGCGUGCCACAAGUGUGAAGUACAUAAAUUUAUCACAUACUGUUGAACUAUUGUAAAUGAACACUCACUCUUAGGUACCAUGCGGGUGUACUUUACAUUAGAUCACAAUAGUGUAUUCACUAGUUGAACAGCUUGUUGAAUGAGGUCAAUGGGAGCUCAAUGGUUAAGAUUGAGAUUAUUGAUCAGAUGGUCGUGAGUUCAAAUCCCAGCGCAGCCAAGCUGCCAAUGCUGAGCCCUUGAGCAAGACUCUUAACUCUCAAAUGCUCACUUGUUUAAAUUAGAGAAAUGUAAGUCGCUCUGGAUAAGGGCAAAUGCUGUAAUGUAACUUGAUUUAAUACUAGUGCACAGAUGACUAGUUGUUGUCUGUGCUGUUUUUAAAUUGUUAGUCUGUUUUUUUUUUUUAUUUGAGAAAUUUAUUUACAUACCUUAAAACUUUCUGUACCUUAAAGUCUUGAGAACCUAGCGUUUUUUUGUUGUUGUUGUUUCUUUUAUUUUGUAAAUUUUGCUCUGUCUAGGUAAUCCCGCGCCUUGCGUGAACGGCACCUAGAUGCAAAUACUUUGAGCCGCUGCACAACUGUCAAAUAUGUCCAUCUAGUGCAUGUUCACAAAAAAAAACUUACAACAAUGCAGACAAACUGAGAAACACGUUCUGUGUGAUCUGCCUAUCACUCUUUCUCUGUUUAAAAGAUUGAUUGCCCGCUGCUGCUCUAUCUCUCAGUCAUAUACAAGCCAUUCAUUUUAUUAGAGAAGUUUGCUGAAACUUAAAAAAAUGUGUCUUUGAUUUUUAGAUUAUGAAGUUGAUGGAGAAACUGUCAACGCUGGUCUCAUGGAUCACAUGAUAGCAGAGCUUUUUGAGAAGUCUGUUAAGAAGAUGUUUUCAACGUAGAUACGUUGUGGAAACUGUU